UACGGGGGGAGCAAGCGUUGUUCGGAUUUACUGGGCGUAAGGGGCGCGUAGGCGGCCACCGCAAGUCGACUGUGAAAUCUCCGGGCUUAACCCGGAAAGGUCAGCCGAUACUGCGGGGCUAGAGUGCAGAAGGGGCAACUGGAAUUCUCGGUGUAGCGGUGAAAUGCGUAGAUAUCGAGAGGAACACCUGCGGCGAAGGCGGGUUGCUGGGCUGACACUGACGCUGAGGCGCGAAAGCUAGGGGAGCGAACGGG
rnacentral:rRNA from 1 species